AGUGAACGCUGGCGGUAGGCCUAACACAUGCAAGUCGAACGGCAGCACAGGAGAGCUUGCUCUCUGGGUGGCGAGUGGCGGACGGGUGAGGAAUACAUCGGAAUCUACUCUGUCGUGGGGGAUAACGUAGGGAGACUUACGCUAAUACCGCAUACGACCUACGGGUGAAAGCAGGGGAUCUUCGGACCUUGCGCGAUUGAAUGAGCCGAUGUCGGAUUAGCUAGUUGGCGGGGUAAAGGCCCACCAAGGCGACGAUCCGUAGCUGGUCUGAGAGGAUGAUCAGCCACACUGGAACUGAGACACGGUCCAGACUCCUACGGGAGGCAGCAGUGGGGAAUAUUGGACAAUGGGCGCAAGCCUGAUCCAGCCAUACCGCGUGGGUGAAGAAGGCCUUCGGGUUGUAAAGCCCUUUUGUUGGGAAAGAAAUCCAGCUGGUUAAUACCCGGUUGGGAUGACGGUACCCAAAGAAUAAGCACCGGCUAACUUCGUGCCAGCAGCCGCGGUAA
rnacentral:rRNA from 1 species